CCUACGGGAGGCUGCAGUGGGGAAUAUUGCACAAUGGGCGCAAGCCUGAUGCAGCCAUGCCGCGUGUGUGAAGAAGGCCUUCGGGUUGUAAAGCACUUUCAGCGGGGAGGAAGGCGUUAAGGUUAAUAACCUUGGCGAUUGACGUUACCCGCAGAAGAAGCACCGGCUAACUCCGUGCCAGCAGCCGCGGUAAUACGGAGGGUGCAAGCGUUGAUCGGAAUUACUGGGCGUAAAGCGCACGCAGGCGGUCUGUCAAGUCGGAUGUGAAAUCCCCGGGCUCAACCUGGGAACUGCAUUCGAAACUGGCAGGCUAGAGUCUUGUAGAGGGGGGUAGAAUUCCAGGUGUAGCGGUGAAAUGCGUAGAGAUCUGGAGGAAUACCGGUGGCGAAGGCGGCCCCCUGGACAAAGACUGACGCUCAGGUGCGAAAGCGUGGGGAGCAAACAGGAUUAGAUACCCGUGUAGUC
rnacentral:rRNA from 1 species